rnacentral:rRNA from 1 species
UAGGGAAUCUUCGGCAAUGGACGAAAGUCUGACCGAGCAACGCCGCGUGAGUGAAGAAGGUUUUCGGAUCGUAAAACUCUGUUGUUAGAGAAGAACAAGGACGUUAGUAACUGAACGUCCCCUGACGGUAUCUAACCAGAAAGCCACGGCUAACUACGUGCCAGCAGCCGCGGUAAUACGUAGGUGGCAAGCGUUGUCCGGAUUUAUUGGGCGUAAAGCGAGCGCAGGCGGUUUCUUAAGUCUGAUGUGGAAGCCCCCGGCUCAACCGGGGAGGGUCAUUGGAAACUGGGAGACUUGAGUGCAGAAGAGGAGAGUGGAAUUCCAUGUGUAGCGGUGAAAUGCGUAGAUAUAUGGAGGAACACCAGUGGCGAAGGCGGCUCUCUGGUCUGUAACUGACGCUGAGGCUCGAAAGCGUGGGGAGCAAACAGG